GGAGUCACAUGGAGUUGCAUUGCAUGGUCAGUUGUAUGUAGAUAUACACAAGUAGGUCCAUUGCAUAUGCAUAAAAACAGCGGUGAGGGCUUCGGUCCUGGAGUACUAGUUGCUCAACAGCGGUGAGGGCUUCGGUCCUGAUGAAUGCUUUAACCAUUCAAAAGCGGUGAGGGCUCCGGUCCUGAUUGGUACCACAUGCAUAAU
rnacentral:lncRNA from 1 species